UGGGGAAUUUUGGACAAUGGGCGAAAGCCUGAUCCAGCAAUGCCGCGUGUGUGAAGAAGGCCUUCGGGUUGUAAAGCACUUUUGUCCGGAAAGAAAUCCUUGGCUCUAAUACAGUCGGGGGAUGACGGUACCGGAAGAAUAAGCACCGGCUAACUACGUGCCAGCAGCCGCGGUAAUACGUAUGGUGCAAGCGUUAAUCGGAAUUACUGGGCGUAAAGCGUGCGCAGGCGGUUUGCUAAGACCGAUGUGAAAUCCCCGGGCUCAACCUGGGAACUGCAUUGGUGACUGGCAGGCUAGAGUAUGGCAGAGGGGGGUAGAAUUCCACGUGUAGCAGUGAAAUGCGUAGAGAUGUGGAGGAAUACCGAUGGCGAAGGCAGCCCCCUGGGCAAUACUGACGCUCGUGCACGAAAGCGUGGGGAGCAAACAGGAUUAGAUACCCCUGGGUAGUCCACGCCCUAAACGAUGUCAACUGUUGUUGGGGAUUCAUUUCCUUAGUAACGUAGCUAACGCGUG
rnacentral:rRNA from 1 species